GACAGAGGGUGCAAACGUUGCUCGGAAUCACUGGGCGUAAAGGGCGUGUAGGCGGGAAGGAAAGUCAGAUGUGAAAUCCCUGGGCUCAACCCAGGAACUGCAUUUGAAACUCCCUUUCUUGAGUGUCGGAGAGGAAAGCGGAAUUCCUGGUGUAGAGGUGAAAUUCGUAGAUAUCAGGAGGAACACCGGUGGCGAAGGCGGUUCUCUGGGCAUUACCUGACGCUGAGGAGCGAAAGUGUGGGGAGCGAACAGG
rnacentral:rRNA from 1 species